rnacentral:rRNA from 1 species
AGUUUUAAGUGAAGAGUUUGAUCCUGGCUCAGAGUGAACGCUGGCGGUAGGCCUAACACAUGCAAGUCGAACGGCAGCACAGGAGAGCUUGCUCUCUGGGUGGCGAGUGGCGGACGGGUGAGGAAUACAUCGGAAUCUACUCUGUCGUGGGGGAUAACGUAGGGAAACUUACGCUAAUACCGCAUACGACCUACGGGUGAAAGUGGGGGACCGCAAGGCCUCACGCGAUUGAAUGAGCCGAUGUCGGAUUAGCUAGUUGGCGGGGUAAAGGCCCACCAAGGCGACGAUCCGUAGCUGGUCUGAGAGGAU